rnacentral:lncRNA from 1 species
AUCACGCCACCAUCCCAACCCAAACCCAAACCCCCCAGGUACUCUCUUUAUGGAUUGUUGACGUUAUCUUUUCAUCAUCUCCUCUUAUUGAGUUUCUUCGUAAGCGUGGAAAAAGUUUCCGCUUACAGCCAACUUAAGCAAGAACACUCAUUGCUUCACAAGAUGCUCUUAUUCUUCGAAGUCUUUUUUGCCUUUACCUUUCUUUAUACGAUGCCCAAUCGGGAAAAUGAGGCGGCUAUUGAGCAUCUUGGGUUGGUUACAGCCAAUGUUGUUGUAUCUAAUAUGAUGAUAUCCAUGGUUGAUUCCACCAUCAUGAUAGUCACAAUAGUAUUGUGGGUGCUUGUUUUGGUCCUAGACAUUAUUUUUUUAGCAAAAGAUGCAUUUCACCAGCUUUGGGAAAAAAGAUUAUAUUGGUUGCCAAAAUCAGAAAAAACACUUGAGGAACAGAUUCGGAUUGCUGAGGAAGCACUUGAGCGUGCUCGUGACCUACGCAGCC